rnacentral:sRNA from 1 species
CAUUUCACUUGACCCCUAAGCUUCAGGCUCGGGACCAUGGAGCUGUGAGUUUCAGGGGCACAGGGGCAGGGCGCCCUCAACACACACAGCUCAUCCUGGCUCUCCCAGGCUCCAUCCCCACACCCGUGUCCUCUCUGCUCCCAUAGAUCAAAACGCAGCUGCAAGCCCAGACAGUGGCCGCAAUGGCCGUGGGACACCAGCACAAUCACCAGACUGUCCUGGGUGCCUUGGAGACCAUCUGGCGGCAACAAGGGCUCUUGGGGCUGUGGCAGGGUGUUGGUGCGGCUGUGCCCCGAGUCAUGGUGGGCUCAGCUGCCCAGCUGGCCACCUUCGCCUCUGCCAAGGCCUGGGUACAGAAGCAACAGUGGCUCCCUGAGGACAGCUGGCUGGUGGCCCUGGCUGGGGGCAUGAUCAGCAGCAUAGCCGUGGUUGUCGUCAUGACUCCCUUCGAUGUGGUCAGCACGCGGCUAUACAAUCAGCCGGUGGACACAGCUGGCAGGGGCCAGCUCUAUGGGGGCCUCACCGACUGCAUGGUGAAGAUCUGGCGGCAGGAGGGCCCCCUGGCACUCUACAAGGGCCUGGGCCCCGCCUACCUGCGCCUGGGCCCCCACA